GUAUAACAAGACCCAGGAAAGCUGAUGCUGAUGUGAUCUUCCCCUGUUCUGAUUAAGUCUGGCGAUCGACUCUCUCGUCUCUUGGAGUGGAAAUAUGCUUGCAAGUGCUACAGUUUGACUGGGGAAGCACGCAUGUUAUAGUCACACACCUGCAGUGUAGUACGUUGAAACUUAGUCCUAUACACAUGUAUUUGCAAGAGUAUAUGCGAUCACGGAAUGUAGCAUUACCUGUUAGAUGAACCCUGGAGUAUUGCCUGUCAUUCUGUCAAACCACAAUGAUCCGAAUCAUGAAGAAUGCAGAUAUCCUUGUCAUGCCGCCAUCCGUCAUCCGAAGCUUUUUAUUUGGGGAAAGCUAAAUGGUAAUGGAGCAUUUUCUUUGCCCCUCACACCCGAAAUUUUCUUCUUGCUUAUCUGACCCAUCCAAGGCUUCUUCCUCCUCCUCUCAUCUCCUCCAUCUCCGGCGA
rnacentral:lncRNA from 1 species